UAGUAACGGCGAGUGAAGCGGCAACAGCUCAAAUUUGAAAUCUGGCUUCGGCCCGAGUUGUAAUUUGCAGAGGAAGCUUUAGGCGCGGCACCUUCUGAGUCCCCUGGAACGGGGCGCCAUAGAGGGUGAGAGCCCCGUAUAGUUGGAUGCCUAGCCUGUGUAAAGCUCCUUCGACGAGUCGAGUAGUUUGGGAAUGCUGCUCAAAAUGGGAGGUAAAUUUCUUCUAAAGCUAAAUACCGGCCAGAGACCGAUAGCGCACAAGUAGAGUGAUCGAAAGAUGAAAAGCACUUUGAAAAGAGGGUUAAAUAGCACGUGAAAUUGUUGAAAGGGAAGCGCUUGUGACCAGACUUGCGCCGGGCUGAUCAUCCGGUGUUCUCACCGGUGCACUCUGCCCGGCUCAGGCCAGCAUCGGUUCUCGCGGGGGGAUAAAGGCCCGGGGAAUGUAGCUCCUCCGGGAGUGUUAUAGCCCCGGGUGUAAUACCCUCGCGGGGACCGAGGUUCGCGCAUCU
rnacentral:rRNA from 1 species